CACCUCUAGCAUAACCAGUAUUAGAGGCACUGCCUGCCCAGUGACAACUAAAGUUCAACGGCCGCGGUAUCCUGACCGUGCAAAGGUAGCAUAAUCACUUGUUCUUUAAAUAAGGACUAGUAUGAAAGGCUUGACGAGGGUUUAACUGUCUCUUACUUACGGUCAGUGAAAUUGACAUCUCCGUGAAGAGGCGGGGAUAAAACAAUAAGACGAGAAGACCCUAUGGAGCUUUAAUUUAUUAAUUCAUUUUAAUUUUAUUCAAACCAAUAAGGGUUAAAUAAUAAAUUAUGAAUUAAAGAUUUUGGUUGGGGUGACCUCGGAGAACAACCAAACCUCCGAAUGAUAAUAACCUAGACCUACAAGUCGAAGUUACUAUCAUAAAUUGACCCAGAAAUAAUCUGAUCAACGAACCAAGUUACCCUAGGGAUAACAGCGCAAUCCUAUUCUAGAGUUCAUAUCGACAAUAGGGUUUACGACCUCGAUGUUGGAUCAGGACCCCCUAAUGGUGCAGCCGCUAUUUAAGGUUCGUUUGUUCAACGAUUAAAGUCCU
rnacentral:rRNA from 1 species